AGACGUAUAGCUCAGUGGUAGAGCCCAUGCUUGGCAUGCGUGAGGUCUUGGAUUCAAUCCCCAGUGCCUCCA
rnacentral:tRNA from 1 species